UGUCACCAUUAUCCACACCGAAGUCUCAAGUUCUCCUUCUAAGACGGCAACAUCAGGACCUUACCAGACCCACCUCUGCAGCAACUGUUUCCAUUUUCUUCCCAGAAUGAUGUACUGCUGGACAGAUUGCCCCAAAGAUCAAUUUGAU